GCAAAGAAAUAGUGUAUUUUACAUAAUGCAGAACCGUAAUUAACAAAACGAACAAUAGGCGUAACAAUGCGUAACUAUGCGCACUAAUAAUGAUAAUAUUUAUUUGGCUAUUCAUUAUAGGCGGAUAUAUUUAAAGUGAAUAUAGAGAGAGGUAAAGGAGUUAAUAAUAUACAUUAUAUGUAAUUAAAUGUAAUAAUUUUUAUAUAUUUGUAAAUGUGACGUUAUCACAGUUAUAUAACAAUAAACUUACAAUAGAAACCUUUGAAUGCAAAGUUUGCUUGAAAAUUGCACAUGGUAAUGAGUUUAUGCUUCGUAAGGCCUGCGAAGCAUGUCAUAACAUCGCACUUUUUAAUCGAUAUAUGAAAUUAAAACAGGAGACCUAUUUUCGUUUUUUAGAUUCCGAAGUGGACAUUAAGCGUUUUCUUUCUAAAAAAAAUUCUAAAACUCAAAAGUUCAAAAAAAGGAAAAGUUAUUUCUAAGGAGGAGCUUCUUUCUACCUCUGAAGAAAGCGAGAAGGAAAAUUCUGAUAAAGAUCCAGAAUUUGUUCCAUCAACACCUCAAGCUGCCAAAUUAAAAACAAAAAAAAGCAGACUUGAGGGGUUAUGUUAAUCACACAAAUUUCUUUGCCAGUUGCUACAACCUUAACUAAAGUUAUUGAAAAACCACACUCUCCUUUUUCUACCCCAGUUAAAGUUAAUUCAACAACCAUUUCUCAUAUUCCAAAAAAAAACAUUUCAAAAAAAGUAAAGUUACUGUUACAAUUCAAAAAAAAAAGUGUAGUUUGCGAAAAAAACUUGGAUGACAUUGUUGAAGAUGACAUUCCAUAUCUAAAUUUAAUUAGAUUUAACAAGAGAUCGCCUUAUUUUUGAAGAUAGCCAUUGUGGAGAUGUUAAUUAUUUUCCAGGAGUGGCAGUUAAAUGCAAUUUGAGUGAUUCAUUAGAUCCUGACAAGUACUUGGCUUCUGUUCGAUUUUUAGAAUACCGAAAGUCUAUGAUUGAACGUGAUUUAAAAAGCUUUUUUGGUGACAUAGAGUAAGUUUUUUUGCUAACACUUAUUUUAUAGUGUGGCAAUUUAGUAAUAAUAUUUUUUUUAUGUAAGGCCACUGCUUAUAAAAGAAUGUCCAGCCGUGUCGAAUAUAAAAUUAAGUGCACGGAAAUGAACUGCUCUUCGUUCUCAACAAAAUAUUCGAAACAUUUAAUUGAAAAACAUCAAUUUGGCCUGCAGCAAGCUAAUUACUUGCAGUCUUUUCACAUUUGUUUGUUCAAGUUUAAAACUCGGUUGGUUAAACAUUCGAAUAAACCUUAUGCAUGCAGUGAGUGCAUGGUUUGGUUUGACCGCCUUGAUAAAUAUUUGAUUAAUGAACACAAGUUUGAAUCGGGAAGGUAAGGUUAAUUUCAAUUAUUACACAAUUUAAAAUUGUUUAUGUUGCGUUAUUACAAGUACUGUUAGGGUUAUUACAAAUGUUGCAUUAUUACAAGUUUUAUUAAAUAUUUUUUUCUGUUGCAGUGAUUCGUUUAAGGAAGCAAUGUCUUCUAUGAAAAUAAAGUCAAAAGAGUUUAUAGUGAAACAAACCGCCGAGUUUUUUGGUUUGAAUUUUAUAAUAGUUAAUGUUAUGUUAAUAAAAAAUCCUUAUUAUUUUUAUUGAAAUGGUAGUGCAUAGGAUUAUAAUAAAUCUACAUUAUAAUUUGUACACUUUUUAGGUGAAACAAAACAAACAAAUUUUAGUGCUCUUGUGAGUUGUCCUUCGGGAACAAGGAGUACUUUUCAUGUUAAAAAAAAAAUGCAGUCAGGGGGUGCCUAAUUCUCAGCGUUAGUUUAGUAUUACUUUAGUUUUUUUAGUAUAAGAGUUAAAAAGCUAUUAGAACUAAAAGGGUAUUUGAGCAAUUUUGUAACUUUUAGAAACAAGUCAUAUUGAGGAAAAUAGGCCUGGUUCAAGUGGUCUAGAACGAUCUAAACCAAUAACCAAAGACGGAUUAAAAGCUGCUUUAGACAGUUUAUGACUACUCUAGUUCGCCUGAAAAAAAUAGUAGUAGUGUGGUCCCAGUUUCGCCUCAAUCAAGUCCUAAUAAAGCCAAUAUCUAUGGAAUUUCUAAACGAGAAUUACGUUAUGACGCAUUUAUAAGAUUUAUAAAAUAAAAAAACCUGA